UUGUAAGCGUAGGUGGUUGCAGUAUAUAAAAACUUUUAUAUUACUGAGGAAAGUCCGGGCUUUAAGUUGAAAAUAUUGCUGGAUAAAUUCCAGAAUGAUAGAUCAUUAGCAAAGCACUACAGAAAAUAUUCUAAUAACUUUAAUUUAAAGUUAUUAAAGUUGCAACGGUAUAUUACCUCUAAUAUUGUGAAAUAUUAUGGCAGUAAGCCUCAAUAAAAAGCAAGGUCUAUAUGAUUUAAAGCUAAAAAUAAAUUUUGUGCUUGAAAAACCGCAUAAAGUAUUUAGUAAUAAAUACUUUAAGAUAAAUAACCACCCUUGAAAAGAAAUUUCAAGAACUAAACCCGGCUUAUGUCUUACAUAAAA
rfam:Galdieria sulphuraria unplaced genomic scaffold scaf_35, whole genome shotgun sequence.